UGAGCGUCUUGUGUGGAAAGUGGCGAACGGGUGAGUAACACGUAGGUGACCUGCCUCGAAGUGGGGGAGAACCAUUGGAAACGAUGGCUAAUACCGCAUAGUUCUGCGUAUACGGGAGUAUGUGCGGAUAAAACUGAGGUGCUGCGAGAGGGGCCUGCGGUCGAUUAGCUAGUUGGCGGGGUAAAGGCCCACCAAGGCGAUGAUCGAUAGCUGUUCUGAGAGGAAGACCAGCCACACGGGAACUGAGACACGGUCCCGACUCCUACGGGGGGCAGCAGUGAGGAAUAUUGCACAAUGGGGGAAACCCUGAUGCAGCAACGCCGCGUGAAGGAUGAAGGUCUUCGGAUUGUAAACUUCUUUUCUGUGGGAAGAGCAAGGACGGUACCACAGGAAUAAGUCUCGGCUAACUACGUGCCAGCAGCCGCGGUAAAACGUAGGAGGCGAGCGUUAUCCGGAUUUACUGGGCGUAAAGCGCGUGCAGGCGGUUUCUUAAGUUGGACGUGAAAGCUCCUGGCUCAACUGGGAGAGGUCGUUCGAAACUAGGAGACUUGAGGGUGGUAGAGGAGAGUGGAAUUCCCGGUGUAGUGGUGAAAUGCGUAGAUAUCGGGAGGAACACCAGUGGCGAAGGCGGCUCUCUGGGCCACUCCUGACGCUAAGACGCGAAAGCUAGGGGAGAAAACGGGAUUAGAAACCCCGGUAUUCCUAGCCGUAAACGAUGUCAACUAGGUGUAGGGGGUAUCCAACCCCCCUGUGCUGCAGCAAACGCGGUAAGUUGACCGCCUGGGGACUACGGCCGCAAGGCUAAAACUCAAAGGAAUUGACGGGGACCCGCACAAGCAGCGGAGCGUGUGGUUUAAUUCGAGGCUACGCGAAGAACCUUACCAGGGUUUGACAUGAUGGUGGUAGGGAAGUGAAAGCUGACCGACCCUUCGGGGAGCCGACACAGGUGCUGCAUGGCUGUCGUCAGCUCGUGCCGUGAGGUGUUAGGUUAAGUCCUGUAACGAGCGCAACCCUCGUCGUUAGUUAUACGUGUCUAACGAGACUGCCGGUGAUAAGCCGGAGGAAGGUGAGGACGACGUCAAGUCAGCAUGGCCUUUAUAUCCUGGGCUACACACACGCUACAAUGGCCGGUACAAUGGGUCGCGAAAUCGUGAGAUGGAGCCAAUCCUCCAAGUCGGUCUCAGUUCGGAUUGCAGGCUGCAACUCGCCUGCAUGAAGUCGGAGUUGCUAGUACCGCGCGUCACAACAGUGCGGUGAAU
rnacentral:rRNA from 1 species